GAUGAACGCUGGCGGCGUGCUUAACACAUGCAAGUCGAACGGUGAACGAGGGAGCUUGCUCCCUCCGGAUCAGUGGCGAACGGGUGAGUAACACGUGAGCAAUCUGCCCCGGACUCUGGGAUAAGCGUUGGAAACGACGUCUAAUACCGGAUACGAGGCGUGGGGGCAUCCCCAACGCCUGGAAAGAACUUCGGUCCAGGAUGAGCUCGCGGCCUAUCAGGUAGUUGGUGAGGUAACGGCCCACCAAGCCUACGACGGGUAGCCGGCCUGAGAGGGUGACCGGCCACACUGGGACUGAGACACGGCCCAGACUCCUACGGGAGGCAGCAGUGGGGAAUAUUGCACAAUGGGCGCAAGCCUGAUGCAGCAACGCCGCGUGAGGGACGACGGCCUUCGGGUUGUAAACCUCUUUUAGCAGGGAAGAAGCGAAAGUGACGGUACCUGCAGAAAAAGCACCGGCUAACUACGUGCCAGCCGCCGCCGUAAAAC
rnacentral:rRNA from 1 species